rnacentral:sRNA from 1 species
GACAUUUUCAGAAACUUACAUUUCAUUUUCUCUCCUUCAAACAUCUCUCUAACAUUGUCCUCUCCAAAACCCAUUCUUCUCUCUAGAUUUUCCCUCCAUUGAGUCACUGGAUUCCCAUUCCGCAGACGUCUAGGCGAUCUUUGCAUCAAGGGCUCCAAUUUUCACCGAUUGCAUUUGCGAUUUCAUAGGGUGCUGUCAAUUUUUCUAGAGUGCCUUUGGAUUUCCUCUUGAGUUUAGUUAUUGAAAAUUUAAGUAGGUGAUGAUGUACCUUUGGAGCAAGCUUUGGAAGUUGAGGAAGACCCAGCCCCUAGUGCUUAGGAUUUCUACUAACUCUUAAUUUAAAUAGCUCUUUAUUUUGAAAGACUUCUAGCCUUCAUUUUAUCAUGAUCUGUAUUUUGGAAACACUCUUUAGGUCCCAUUGAACCUUUAUUCAAUCAUGUAUUUUGGAGAAUUAUGAACUUGUACUUAAAUUUUAAAACUUCCCA